rnacentral:rRNA from 1 species
CAGUCGCCGCGGUAAUACAGAGGGUGCGAGCGUUAAUCGGAUUUACUGGGCGUAAAGCGUGCGUAGGCGGCUUCUUAAGUCGGAUGUGAAAUCCCUGAGCUUAACUUAGGAAUUGCAUUCGAUACUGGGAAGCUAGAGUAUGGGAGAGGAGGGUAGAAUUCCAGGUGUAGCGGUGAAAUGCGUAGAGAUCUGGAGGAAUACCGAUGGCGAAGGCAGCCAUCUGGCCUAAUACUGACGCUGAGGUACGAAAGCAUGGGGAGCAAACAGGAUUAGAGACCCCGGUAGUCCCUGUCUCUUAUAC